ensembl:lncRNA
GGAGCAUGCAGUUUUAUUUCCAAGCUUUGUUCCUUACAAGCUUCGUUAUUUCUCAGGUCUGUAAAUCAUCUCUUCUUCCAAUGGCAGAACCCUUUCUCCUGACACACGGUCUCAUUGAAAGCUAAUGACCAAACAUCAUGUCGCAUCCUUGGCUCAGCUGUAGCUAGACGUGAACCCUGAUUGCCUUUUGUAGCUAUAUUGGCAGAAAAGGGGGGGGCAUAAUAAUGGUUUCAGAGUGGCACCGUGUCCCUGUUCUCCUCCACAGCUCCAUUGAGAUGCAGUUUUCUUAACUGUCAGCCCUGUAGGGUUAGAUAGCUGGUCCCCAACCCAUCCCUACAAUUACCUGCUUUGCUCUGCACGGAUUUCAACAUCCUGUUCUUAUUUACAAACCCCUUUCCCAAGGGACAAAUGCUGAGGGAUGGAGAGGCUGAAUCAGUGACAGUGUAAGCCAAAUCACUGGGAAGGACCCUCGGAUUGCCCUAGAGGUGUUCAAGAACCAUGGAGAUGUGGCACCGAGGAACUUGGUCAGUGGGCAUGGUGGGGUUGAGUUAGACUUGGUGAUCUCAGAGCUCUUUUCCAACCUUCAUGCUUCCAUAUCAACAUCCAACCCAACUUAAACAACCUUACAAAAGUUAUAUUUCUCCCACAGAUAAGCAGCUUUUGGGAGAGCAGCAAGAGAUUAAACAGAUUCCUAUCUAUCUCUAAGCUUGCUCUAACUUCUGCUUUACUCUUUUCAAAAGGCAAAUUUAGCAUUUCCAUCACAAGGUUCAAAGCAGCAAAUGGAGUCUCCCUUAAAACUGGAUGUACAUAUUGAUACUCAGGAUUGGUCCCAGGUGCCACCAAUUCCUUCCCUGAUUACCUGGUCAAUCUGAUUGGAGCAUGGCUCCUCUCAAGCUAUAUAAACCUGCCAGAGAGCUGGUGCAUCCUUUUGUGGUCAGAGCUUUUCCUGUGUCUUCAUGUCAACUUUUUUCCUGCUUCACCUUACCAUGUGGAAAAAGCUCCGAUGACUUUUUUUUUCCAUCCAUACCUGUGCUGAGAUUGAUCUUUGACAAAUCACAGAGCUGUGCACUAAUUGAGGCUGGAAGGGACCACUUGAGAAGACCUGGAUGAAAGAUAACAGUGGGCUGGGCAGAAUCCAGCCAAGGCAGUCACCAGCUCCGUUUUACAAAUCUUGUUCAUUCUACUGUUGUAUCUUUCUUGGUCAUUUCCAAGAUGUUUCCUGAGCAAUGUACCAAAUCCAUCAAUGAUUUUCCUAAGCCACAGGCCUUGGGGCAGUCAGGUCCCUUUUCUGAGAGGACAGUGGGCCAAAAUCCAUCAUCCAUGGCAUGGGGGCUGGAGCCACAUCAUCUGUAAGGUCUCCACCAACCCAAGUUAUUCUAUGAUCAUCCACUUAUCCGGAAAUUGAUUCCCUUUAGCUAAGGCUAAGGGGAUGUUUAAAUGAGGUAUUUAAAUACACUGCAUUCAAGUCUUCACGUGGACCUUGUAUUUAUAACUUGUCCUUCUAGUGAGAGACCGAUUAUGAAGUUUCACUCGCACGUAACAUGUCCUUUAGCACAGGUUUCUGUUAAGCCAUAGACUAUAGCUGAUGUUCAAUUAGUCUUAAAU